GAGCCCGAGGGCAGCGGCUCCGCCAGGCGGGAACGCCGGGAGCCGGGAACAGCAGCGGGGAAGGGAGAGAGGUCAGCGUGUGAGGGGGAAACAAGGUGAAUGGAUUGUUCCUGUGAAAUUCUGGAUUUGAGGAAAUGAAUUAAAGCAUUCAGGAAAGAUAUUUCUUCACAGAGACCAUGAGGUGCUGGAAAGCAGGGGAGUGAGUGAUCAGCUGGCUUCUGAAACAAAGACUGGACUGCAGUGGCUUCAAGAGAAUUCCCCUCCUUCAGAUGGCUCCAACAGCAGCACAGGAAGAGUUUCAAUCCCACACACAGGAAAACCCCAGGGACACCAAGCAGCUGCACAUUUUCCAGGUGGGAACAGGGAUGGAGGCAGCAAACAGCCCCAGGAGAUGCCACUGCCACCUCCAGGCACAAGCAGAGGGACUCAGCUGCCACCCCAUUGUGUGAGACCCUGUCCAGGACUGUCUCCACCUACAGAAAACCACAGGGACCAACUCUUCCUUUAGAAUUAAUUUUAGAUCCAAGUAUUAAAUCAGCCAUUCCAUGUAUUACCACAU